AUUGAACGCUAGCGGCCGGCCUAACACAUGCAAGUCGAGCGGAGCGGCGGCCGGGUGAGUAAUGCCUAGGAAUCUGCCUCGUAGCGGGGGAUAACGUGCGGAAACGGGAGCUAAUACCGAAUCCUUUCAGAUGAGCCUAGGCCGGAUUAGCUAGUUGGUGGGGUAAAGGCCAACCAAGGCGACGAUCCGUAACUGGUCUGAGAGGAUGAUCAGUCACACGUGUACUGAGACACGUGCCAGACUCCUACGGUAGGCAGCAGUGGGGAAUAUUGGACAAUGGGCGAAAGCAUGAUCCAGCCAUGCCGCGUGUAUGAAGAAGGUCGUAGGAUUGUAAAGCACUUUAAGUUGGGAGGCGUUACCAACAGAAUAAGCACCGGCUAACUUCGUGCCAGCAGGCGCGGUAAUAC
rnacentral:rRNA from 1 species